GACGAACGCUGGCGGCGUGCUUAACACAUGCAAGUCGAACGGAAAGGCCCUGCUUUUGUGGGGUGCUCGAGUGGCGAACGGGUGAGUAACACGUGAGUAACCUGCCCUUGACUUUGGGAUAACUUCAGGAAACUGGGGCUAAUACCGGAUAGGAGCUCCUGCUGCAUGGUGGGGGUUGGAAAGUUUCGGCGGUUGGGGAUGAACUCGCGGCUUAUCAGCUUGUUGGUGGGGUAGUGGCUUACCAAGGCUUUGACGGGUAGCCGGCCUGAGAGGGCGACCGGCCACAUUGGGACUGAGAUACGGCCCAGACUCCUACGGGAGGCAGCAGUGGGGAAUAUUGCACAAUGGGCGGAAGCCUGAUGCAGCAACGCCGCGUGCGGGAUGACGGCCUUCGGGUUGUAAACCGCUUUCGCCUGUGACGAAGCGUGAGUGACGGUAAUGGGUAAAGAAGCACCGGCUAACUACGUG
rnacentral:rRNA from 1 species